rnacentral:rRNA from 1 species
CCUAACACCUGUGCACCUUUGCAAAGUGAAUAGGUUAUUCUAAAUUGUCGGCAUCAGGAAGACCUAGGUGAGCGUGUGCUUAUGCCACUAGUAGCCUGGGGGUCUACCGGUCGAUAUGAAGAGUCGAAAGCUUUGGUCUUUAUCAACCUUUUGUAUGUUCUGUGAAGGUCUUGCUCUUUAUGAGUAAAAUAAAUACAACUUUCAACAACGGAUCUCUUGGCUCUCGCAUCGAUGAAGAACGUAGCGAAAUGUGAUAAGUAAUGUGAAUUGCAGAAUUCAGUGAAUCAUCGAAUCUUUGAACGCACCUUGCGCCCUUUGGUAUUCUAAAGGGCACACCUGUUUGAGUGUCAUGUUAAUAUCAAACCUUAAGCCUCUUUGUUGGGCUUGAAAUAGAUGGUUUGGACUUGGAGGCUUUGCUGGUGUGCUCUUUGUACGUCGGCUCCUCUUANAGACAUUAAGUAAGACUGAGACUUGCAUGAAUGAUUGUAAUAGUGAUAUGUUCAUCGGAAGUGCUUGUCCAGUAGGUCUGCUUUNANUUGUCUGNUGACAAGGUUCNUUUGUGAUCNUUUACUUGAUGGUUUGACCUCAAAUCAGGUUGUGACGACCCCGCUGAACUU